rnacentral:rRNA from 1 species
CACGUAGGGUGCGAGCGUUGUCCGGAAUUAUUGGGCGUAAAGAGCUCGUAGGCGGUUUGUCGCGUCUGCUGUGAAAACCCGAGGCUCAACCUCGGGCCUGCAGUGGGUACGGGCAGACUAGGGUGCGGUAGGGGAGAUUGGAAUUCCUGGUGUAGCGGUGGAAUGCGCAGAUAUCAGGAGGAACACCAAUGGCGAAGGCAGAUCUCUGGGCCGUAACUGACGCUGAGGAGCGAAAGCAUGGGGAGCGAACAGG